ACACACACACAGACACACACACACACACACCCUCAUGUUUUAAAGUUUACAAAUUUGUGUUGGGCUGCAUUGAAAGUCAUCCUGGGCUGCAUACGACCUGUGGGCCAGACAAGCUUGCUCUAUCACUACAUUCCCCUUACCCACUGUUAUAUUCUUAUUUGAUUCUAGGUCUUCAUUCACCUGAGCCUUACUAAUGAUAAUCAAGGAUGCAGAUUUCUUCAACGCAGAUGCCAACCUUCAAUAUAUCCCACCUUAAGUACA
rnacentral:lncRNA from 1 species